AGAGUUUGAUCCUGGCUCAGAACGAACGCUGGCGGCGUGGAUAAGACAUGCAAGUCGAACGGAAUUUUAUUGGUAGUAAUACUAGUAAAAUUUAGUGGCGAACGGGUGCGUAACACGUGAGUAAUCUGCCGAGAAGUGGGGGAUAGCUCGCCGAAAGGCGAAUUAAUACCGCAUGUGACUAGUGGGGACAUCCCUGCGACGUCAAAGCCGUAAGGCGCUUCUUGAUGAGCUCGCGGCCUAUCAGCUAGUUGGUGAGGUAAUGGCUCACCAAGGCGAUGACGGGUAGCUGGUCUGAGAGGACGACCAGCCACACUGGAACUGAGACACGGUCCAGACACCUACGGGUGGCAGCAGUCGAGAAUUUUUCACAAUGGGGGAAACCCUGAUGGAGCGACGCCGCGUGGAGGAUGAAGGCCCUUGGGUCGUAAACUCCUGUCAUAAGAGAACAAGAAAGUGAUAGUAUCUUAAGAGGAAGAGACGGCUAACUCUGUGCCAGCAGCCGCGGUAAUACAGAGGUCUCAAGCGUUGUUCGGAUUCAUUGGGCGUAAAGGGUGCGCAGGCUGUGUGGUAAGUCGGGUGUGAAAUUUAGAGGCUCAACCUCUAAACUGCAUCUGAUACUGCCAUGCUAGAGGACUGUAGAGGAGAUUGGAAUUCACGGUGUAGCAGUGAAAUGCGCAGAUAUCGUGAGGAAGACCAGUGGCGAAGGCGAAUCUCUGGGCAGUUCCUGACGCUCAUGCACGAAGGCUAGGGGAGCAAACGGGAUUAGAUACCCCGGUAGUCCUAGCAGUAAACGUUGCACGUUUGGUGUGGGAGGAUUCGACCCCUUCCGUGCCGGAGCUAACGCGUUAAACGUGCCGCCUGGGAAGUACGGUCGCAAGAUUAAAACCUAAAGAAAUUGACGGGGGCCCGCACAAGCGGUGGAGUAUGUGGCUUAAUUCGAUGCAACGCGAAGAACCUUACCUGGUCUUGACAUGCAUCUCUAAGUUGGUGAAAGCCAGCGACUCUCGCAAGAGAGAAUUUGCACAGGUGCUGCAUGGCUGUCGUCAGCUCGUGUCGUGAGAUGUUGGGUUAAGUCCCGCAACGAGCGCAACCCCUGUGAACUGUUGCCACUCUAGCUUCGGCUAGAAGCACUCGGUUCAGACUGCCCUGUGAAACGGGGAGGAAGGUGGGGAUGACGUCAAGUCAGCAUGGCCCUUACGACCAGGGCUGCACACGUACUACAAUGCCCAGAACAAAAUGAACCAAGACCGCGAGGUGGAGGAAAUCUAUAAAUCUGGGCCCAGUUCGGAUUGAAGGCUGCAACUCGCCUUCAUGAAGUUGGAAUCGCUAGUAAUGGCGCAUCAGCUACGGCGCCGUGAAUACGUUCCCGGGCCUUGUACACACCGCCCGUCACAUCAUGGAAGUCGCUUGUAUCCGAAGUC
rnacentral:rRNA from 1 species